AGCAUGGUAUCUCAGCAGGAAGAGCGAUGGGCUCAUAACCCAUAGGUCCCCGGAUCGAGACCAGGUCGUGCUA
rfam:Phialocephala subalpina strain TAMH 11012 genome assembly, contig: PAC_scaffold_004